GAUGAACGCUGGCGGCGUGCCUAAUACAUGCCAGUCGAGCGAACGGACGAGAAGCUUGCUUCUCUGAUGUUAGCGGCGGACGGGUGAGUAACACGUGGAUAACCUACCUAUAAGACUGGGAUAACUUCGGGAAACCGGAUCUAAUACCGGAUGAUAUUUUGAACCGCAUGGUUCAAAAGUGAAAGUCGGUCUUGCUGUCACUUAUAGAUGGAUCCGCGCUGCAUUAGCUAGUUGGUAAGGUAACGGCUUACCAAGGCAACGAUGCAUAGCCGACCUGAGAGGGGGAACGGGCCCACAGGAACUGAGCCACGGUCCAGACUCCUACGGGAGGCACCAGUAGGGAAUGUUCCGCAAUGGGCGCAAGCCUGACGGAGCAACGCCGCGUGAGUGAUGAAGGUCUUCGGAUCGUAAAACUCUGUUAUUAGGGAAGAACAAAUGUGUAAGUAACUAUGCACGUCUUGACGGUACCUAAUCAGAAAGCAACGGCUAACUACGUG
rnacentral:rRNA from 1 species